rnacentral:rRNA from 1 species
UUAGAGUUUGAUCCUGGCUCAGGACGAACGCUGGCGGCGUGCCUAAUACAUGCAAGUCGAACGAGGCUUUUUGAUUGAUGCUUGCAUCAGCUAAAAAGCCGAGUGGCGAAUGGGUGAGUAACACGUGGGUAACUUGCCUUGAAGCGGGGGAUAACAUUUGGAAACAGAUGCUAAUACCGCAUAACCACAAAAACCUCCUGGUUUUUGUGUUAAAGAUGGUUCUGCUAUCACUUCAAGAUGGACCCGCGGCGUAUUAGCUUGUUGGUGAGGUAAUGGCUCACCAAGGCAAUGAUACGUAGCCGAACUGAGAGGUUGAUCGGCCACAUUGGGACUGAGACACGGCCCAAACUCCUACGGGAGGCAGCAGUAGGGAAUCUUCCACAAUGGACGCAAGUCUGAUGGAGCAACGCCGCGUGAGUGAAGAAGGUCUUCGGAUCGUAAAACUCUGUUGUCAGAGAAGAACGUGCGUGAGAGCAACUGUUCAUGCAGUGACGGUAUCUGACCAGAAAGUCACGGCUAACUACGUGCCAGCAGCCGCGGUAAUACGUAGGUGGCAAGCGUUGUCCGGAUUUAUUGGGCGUAAAGGGAACGCAGGCGGUCUUUUAAGUCUGAUGUGAAAGCCUUCGGCUUAACCGAAGUCGUGCAUUGGAAACUGGGGGACUUGAGUGCAGAAGAGGAGAGUGGAACUCCAUGUGUAGCGGUGAAAUGCGUAGAUAUAUGGAAGAACACCAGUGGCGAAAGCGGCUCUCUGGUCUGUAG